rnacentral:lncRNA from 1 species
CCAAGAAUCAAAGUAAGAGACAGGGCUGGGUCCAUAUCUAGUUUUGUUUAACUCCAAAGCUCACAGCUUAACCACUCUGCUACAUGGAGACACAAGUCCACUAAGUUUAUAAUAAUUUUAGUUCCCACCCAGAUAAUUAUGGCAAUAAAAUCUGGGUCAUCAUCAUCAUAGCCACUAUAGUUUACUGUUCAAAACUCUCUUAU